AUACUUACCUGGACGGGGUCAAUGGGUGAUCAAUAAGACUCAUGGCCUAGGCUUGUGACCUCCAUUGCACUUUGGAGGGGUGCCUGCCUAAGGUCGGCCCAAGUGGUCGAGCCUGCGUCAUAAUUUGUUGCAGCGGGGGAUUGCGUUCGCGCAGCCCCUA
rnacentral:snRNA from 1 species